rnacentral:rRNA from 1 species
UACGGAGGGUGCAAGCGUUAUCCGGAUUCACUGGGUUUAAAGGGUGCGUAGGCGGGUAUAUAAGUCAGUGGUGAAAGCUCCGAGCUUAACUUGGAACUGCCAUUGAUACUGUAUAUCUUGAAUGUCGUUGAGGUAGCGGAAUGUUGCAUGUAGCGGUGAAAUGCUUAGAUAUGUUACAGAACACCAAUUGUGAAGACAGCUUACUAAGCGAUAAUUGACGCUGAGGCACGAAAGCGUGGGGAGCAAACAGG